CUGAGUUCAAAUCUGGCCAGAGACACUUAGAAGCUGUGUAACUCUGGGAAAGUCAUUCAACCCUAUUUGUCUUAGUUUCUUCAUCCAUAAAAUGAGUUGCUGAAGGAAAUGGCAAACCACUCCAAUAUCUUUGCCAAGAAAACCCAAAAGAGGAUCACAAAGAGUUGGAUAUCACUGAAAAAAUGAAUUAACAAUAACAAAAGAGACAUUUAUAAUUACAUGAUUGGAAUGUAGAUUCAUCUGGCUCUCUGGUUACCCUUUUUUAGAUAUAUGUGAGCUUACUAAUAUUCACUCUAAAAUUAUAUUCUUAGAGAUCAAUUAAGUGUCCAGAUGCGGGAUGUCCUUGAUAGUAUAUAACUGUAUUUCUACCACAUUCCUUUGGUGUACCAUAAUUCUACUAAGGCAACAUAAAGCCCCAAUACCAAUUCUCCCCCAGAUAUUACAUCACUCAAUGACUCAUGUUGAACUGGUUGGCCACUAAAAUACCAAAGGCUUUUUCACAUAAAAUUCUAUAUAGUCAUAGUACCUAUAGCUUGUUUGGGAGUUCAAGACCUUAUAUUAAUCUUUAUUGCAUUUUGUCUUCUAGAUUUGGUCCAUCAUUCAGCCAGUCUAGAAUGUUUUGUUUUCAAAUAGUUAUUCUCCCAGUAUAUGAUUAGAAACUUGCUACCUCCCAGAAUCCAGAAUGGGCCAUGAAGAUAGAUGCCUGCAGAGACCACAUGCUGCACCAGAAGACCCAGAGUGAACUUUGGGAUGUGAAUUGAACUAUGAGGGGUUGAAAUGCCUUUGUUUUGAAAGUACUCUCUGAUGCCAAAAGGGACUGCCCCCAAAUUGGCUUUCUGUCAACCUAGUAAUCAUUGGCUUUAUUCUAUUUUUCUCUUAUUCACAAAUUAUUGUAAUUUUUAAGUUACAUUUCCAUGAUCCUUUGGGGGAAACUGGUUUCCCCAAUAGGAUCAUAGGGGAGGAUGUAUAAAUGGAGAUUUUGAGCCUUUGGACUUCAUCCCCCAGAAGUCCCUUAGAAUUUCCCAAAAUUCCAUUUUUCCUGCAUCCCCAUGUUUUGUGUGAUUGUAUUUAAGUGGCUGCAACCCCUCUAUCAUCCUUUUUUAACUUGUGACUGGGCUGAAGUCAGGCAGUUAUUUUUGCUUUAGUUAUUAUUAAUAAAAUUUUUAAAAUAUAAUAUUUAGUUAUUGAU
rnacentral:lncRNA from 1 species